AAAGUCGUAACAAGGUUUCCGUAGGUGAACCUGCGGAAGGAUCAUUACUGAGAUAGGGUCCUCUUUUGGGCCCGACCUCCAACCCACUGUUUACAUAUACUGUUGCCUCGGCGGGCCGCCGUCCCCUGGGGGACGGCCGUUGGGCUUACGCUCUCGAGCGCCGCCGGUGGAAUACAUCAAAACCCUUUUUAAAAACUAGCCAUCUGGGUGAAUUUUUAAAAUACUUCAAAA
rnacentral:misc_RNA from 1 species